GUGGGGAAUUUUGGACAAUGGGCGCAAGCCUGACGCAGCCAUGCCGCGUGAAUGAUGAAGGUCUUAGGAUUGUAAAAUUCUUUCACCGGGGACGAUAAUGACGGUACCCGGAGAAGAAGCUCCGGCUAACUUCGUGCCAGCAGCCGCGGUAAUACGAAGGGGGCUAGCGUUGCUCGGAAUUACUGGGCGUAAAGGGCGCGUAGGCGGACAGCUUAGUCAGAGGUGAAAGCCCAGGGCUCAACCUUGGAAUUGCCUUUGAUACUGGCUGUCUUGAGUUUGGGAGAGGUGAGUGGAACUCCGAGUGUAGAGGUGAAAUUCGUAGAUAUUCGGAAGAACACCAGUGGCGAAGGCGACUCACUGGCCCAAUACUGACGCUGAGGCGCGAAAGCGUGGGGAGCAAACAGGAUUAGAAACCCGUGUAGUCC
rnacentral:rRNA from 1 species